rnacentral:rRNA from 1 species
UACGUAGGUGGCAAGCGUUGUCCGGAUUUACUGGGCGUAAAGAGCGCGCAGGCGGUCGUGCAAGUCGCGUGUGAAAGCCCCCGGCUCAACUGGGGAGGGUCACGCGAUACUGCUCGACUUGAAGGCAGGAGAGGGAAGUGGAAUUCCCGGUGUAGUGGUGAAAUGCGUAGAUAUCGGGAGGAACACCAGUGGCGAAGGCGACUUCCUCCUGUUCUUGACGCUGAGGCGCGAAAGCUAGGGUAGCAAACGGG